GAAGGAGAAACCGUCCACGGGACUCCGAUGUAAGAAAGGAUAAACAAGUAUUUUAUCCCACAGCUUGCAGUAUCUUCUUACAGGAUACUCAAGGUUACGUUCUCCUCAACCAGCAAAACUGUCCUACGAGAGCAUUACGUACGUAUGAGAGGAAGAAGCUGUGCAAGAGACCCAGGAGAAGAGAAUCUGCCAAGGAAGAGGAUCGACUUGGUCUGAUUGUGCCUUAUGAAGAAGAGGAAGGGGUGAUCAGCUGUGAAGUGUUCUUCUCUCUGCAUACAAAAAACCGCCACGCCAGCUGUGGCUGCAGCGGCCU